UACGAAGGGGGCUAGCGUUGUUCGGAAUUACUGGGCGUAAAGGGCGCGUAGGCGGUGUGUCAAGUCAGGCGUGAAAGCCCCGGGCUCAACCUGGGAACAGCGCUUGAGACUGGCACGCUCGAGUUCGGGAGAGGAUGGUGGAAUUCCCAGUGUAGAGGUGAAAUUCGUAGAUAUUGGGAAGAACACCGAUGGCGAAGGCAGCCAUCUGGACCGACACUGACGCUGAGGCGCGAAAGCCCAGGGGA
rnacentral:rRNA from 1 species